rnacentral:rRNA from 1 species
GCGACCGAGUGAGUAACACGUGACUAACCUACCCUACAGUGGGGGAUAACUCCGGGAAACCGGGGGUAAUACCGCAUAACAUCGUAAGAUCAAAGGAGCAAUUCGCUGAAGGAGGGGGUCGCGGCUGAUUAGUUAGUUGGUGAGGUAACGGCUCACCAAGACGAAGAUCAGUAGCCGGCCUGAGAGGGCGCACGGCCACACUGGAACUGAAACACGGUCCAGACUCCUACGGGAGGCAGCAGUGGGGAAUUUUGCGCAAUGGGGGAAACCCUGACGCAGCAACGCCGCGUGGAGGAUGAAGUCCCUUGGGAUGUAAACUCCUUUCGAUCGGGACGAUUAUGACGGUACCGGAAGAAGAAGCACCGGCUAACUCUGUGCCAGCAGCCGCGGUAAUACAGAGGGUGCAAGCGUUGUUCGGAAUUAUUGGGCGUAAAGGGUGCGUAGGCGGUGCGGUAAGUCUGUAGUGAAAUCUCUGGGCUCAACUCAGAGUCUGCUAUAGAAACUGCCGUGCUUGAGUGUGGGAGAGGUGAGUGGAAUUCCCGGUGUAGCGGUGAAAUG